AGCGAACGCUGGCGGCAGGCUUAACACAUGCAAGUCGAGCGGGCCCUUCGGGGUCAGCGGCAGACGGGUGAGUAACACGUGGGAACGUACCCUUUGGUUCGGAAUAACGCUGGGAAACUAGCGCUAAUACCGGAUACGCCCUUUUGGGGAAAAGCUUGCUGCCGAAGGAUCGGCCCGCGUCUGAUUAGCUAGUUGGUGGGGUAAUGGCCUACCAAGGCGACGAUCAGUAGCUGGUCUGAGAGGAUGAUCAGCCACACUGGGACUGAGGCACGGCCCAGACUCCUACGGGAGGCAGCAGUGGGGAAUAUUGGACAAUGGGCGCAAGCCUGAUCCAGCCAUGCCGCGUGAGUGAUGAAGGCCUUAGGGUUGUAAAGCUCUUUUGUCCGGGACGAUAAUGACGGUACCGGAAGAAUAAGCCCCGGCUAACUUCGUG
rnacentral:rRNA from 1 species